rnacentral:rRNA from 1 species
UGAGGAAUUUUCGUCAAUGGGGGAAACCCUGAACGAGCAACGCCGCGUGCAGGAAGAAGGUCUUCGGAUCGUAAACUGCUUUUCUCUGGGACGAGAACGGACGGUACCAGAGGAAUCAGCCUCGGCUAACUACGUGCCAGCAGCCGCGGUAAUACGUAGGAGGCGAGCGUUGUCCGGAGUGACUGGGCGUAAAGCGCACGCAGGCGGUCCAAUCAGUCUGCAGGGACAGGGCACAGCUUAACUGUGUCAGGCCUGUGGAAACUGUUGGACUUGAGGGCUUCAGAGGGAUGGGGAAUUCCGGGUGGAGUGGUGAAAUGCGUAGAGAUCCGGAAGAACACCAAAGGCGAAGGCACCAUCCUGGGGAGUCACUGACGCUCGGGUGCGAAAGCUAGGGGAGCGAACG